AUCCCGCGGGGGCUCAGCCCGCCGUGGCGCGCUCCCGCGCAGGGUGACGCGCAGUAGCAACGGCAGAGCAGAGAGGCGCGUCCCCGAGCGUAGAUUCCAAGCCCGUGACUGCUGAGCCGGGAGCUGCCCCUUCCGUGCCGAGCCGGCUCUGCUCCCACAGCUGUAGGGGGAAGGAAAUCCUGGAUCAGAGUUCUUUGGAAGAGACCAUGAACUACUGCUAGACAGUUGUUCUGCUGUUCUUUCAGUUGACACCUGCAAUUUGAGACACCA